UGGACGAAGUUAACGAAAGUACGAACAUCUUUAUCGCCAAGGUUAUUAAAAAUUGAAAUAUUUUUCAAUUGAUUUUUCUUCCUUUUUGAAAGAUGGCCUUUAAGGAGAGUGUAAUUUUUCUCGAAAUUAUAUUUUCUGACUCGUGACCAUACUGGACGUAUACCUCUGAUUUCCCGCGUCUUCCAUUCAACUCGAAAGGAGAUUGGCUGACAGAUUGAAUUUUCAAUUUCUUAUAAUACAUCAAUACACGAUAGAAAAUGAUUUCACCGAAAAACGAAACAAUUCUUUCAUGUUCGUGGUCCAAGGUUCUUUCGUAUAGACCUUGACAAACGGAUUGAGCCGAUGAAUCAUUGGCACAUUAACAGGAUGUUCGAUAAGGAUUAGAAAUCUCGAGACUUCCGUUUCAGCCAACUCGUCGAUUGUGAAAUGAAGCAUUUUUCUGGUCCAAGCGUACUCCAACAAUUCUUCGAGACUGACACUCGCCACCCGAACAAAAGCAAUUUAUGUUGCAACUUCACCAACAAUUCAUGGAUCUUUGGAUUUCCUAGGGUUUCGUUGUCAGCGAAGUUGAUCAUGAACUUUACUUGGUAAAAUUCCAAAUCCGUAGGUACGUGUCUUGUCAAUUCAUCUAUCCACUAAGUCGAUUCCACAGGAUUGCGAGAAAAUCCGUAGAGCCAAAGAAUACAAUAUAUCGCGAUGGCAUACAUAUUUCUCGGAUUCAUUCAGAACGGUAUCAUUUUCACAACUGAAUGUUCGACAAUGGCCUUUCCGUGUAUACAUGAACGUUAAUAAAGUUUUAUUGAAGUUUA